UGGGACUGAGACACGGCCCAGACUCCUACGGGAGGCAGCAGUGGGGAAUUUUGGACAAUGGGCGAAAGCCUGAUCCAGCCAUGCCGCGUGCAGGAUGAAGGCCUUCGGGUUGUAAACUGCUUUUGUACGGAACGAAAAGCCUCUUUCUAAUAAAGAGGGGUCAUGACGGUACCGUAAGAAUAAGCACCGGCUAACUACGUGCCAGCAGCCGCGGUAAUACAGAGGGGGC
rnacentral:rRNA from 1 species